rnacentral:rRNA from 1 species
CCCUUAGAUGUCCUGGGCCGCACGCGCGCUACACUGAUGCAUUCAACGAGCACCCGCUGGGCCGAGAGGUCCGGCUAAUCUUUGAACGUGCAUCGUGCUGGGGAUAGAUGAUUGCAAUUAUUCAUCUUCAACGAGGAAUUCCUAGUAAACGCAAGUCAUCAGCUUGCAUUGAUUACGUCCCUGCCCUUUGUACACACCGCCCGUCGCACCUACCGAUUGAAUGGUCCGGUGAAAUUCUCGGACGCGGACUUGCGAUGUUAAUUCGGAGCUUGACUGUGAAAGUUAAUUAAACCUUACCAUUUAGAGGAAGGUGAAGUCGUAACA